AAUGAAUCCUAGAGUGAAUCCUAAAAUAAUGCCUGAAUUUUUUUGCUGGCCCCUUUGCAAUGCCAUGAAACACCUCCCUGGCUCCAUCCUUUUGGCCUUUUCCAGCAUCACUUUGGGCAGCCGCCAUUUAUUUUCUCAGGUUCCGUUUUGAUUUUUGAUGCAGGUGGAGAACAAAAGCCUAAAUCUGGAAAGAAACCCCGAAAUACAGCAGUUCCACCUUCUUAAAAUACUGAAGUGAGCUCAACCUGCUUAAAAUAUCUCUGGGUCAAGGAGCAAGGAGACUUGGAUUGUACCAGUAACCCUCAGUGUGAUCCCGUGACAAACUUUCACCACCCAGCAGGAGUGGAAAAGGAGGGGACAGGACGAGUUCAGCCUCCAUCCUCUGUGGGCAGACCAACAACAACUUCCAUUUCUGGACAUAUAUCGGUUGUGAUCCCUACCCAGUUUUCAGGGCAGUGGGAGGACACUUCCAGGGGCUCCCUGAGCACCCCCUAACAGUUCUCGAUGUGAUCCCAAGCAGGAUGCACCAUGUCUCCCCGGCACCAGCUCUGACCAUGAUGGCCACGCAGACAGUGCCUCCUCCUCCCUACCAAGACACCCCAC